rnacentral:rRNA from 1 species
UAGUCCACGCCCUAAACGAUGCUAACUCGAUAUUUGGGCUUUACGUCUGAGUGUCUAAGGGAAACCAAUAAGUUAGCCGCCUGGGGAGUACGUUCGCAAGAAUGAAACUCAAAGGAAUUGACGGGGGCCCGCACAAGCGGUGGAGCAUGUGGUUUAAUUCGAUGCAACGCGAAGAACCUUACCUACCCUUGACAUUGACAGAAUCCUGUAGAGAUACGGGAGUGCCUUCGGGCCUGGAAAACAGGUGCUGCAUGGCUGUCGUCAGCUCGUGUCGUGAGAUGUUGGGUUAAGUCCCGUAACGAGCGCAACCCUUGUCCUUAGUUACCAGCACGUAAUGGUGGGGACUCUAAGGAGACUGCCGGUGACAAACCGGAGGAAGUGGGGACGACGUCAAGUCAUCAUGGCCCUUAUGGGUAGGGCUACACACGUGCUACAAUGGGCAGUACAGAGGGUUGCGAAGCCGCGAGGUGGAGCUAAUCUCAGAAAACUGUUCGUAGUCCGGAUUGCACUCUGCAA